GUUUGAUCAUGGCUCAGAACGAACGCUGGCGGCGUGCUUAACACAUGCAAGUCGUACGAGAAAUCCCGGGCAACUGGGAGAGUAAAGUGGCGCACGGGUGAGUAACGCGUGGGUAACCUGCCCUUGAGUUGGGGAUAACACCGCGAAAGCGGUGCUAAUACCGAAUAAUAUGUUUGUUCCUUUGGGAAUGGACAUCAAAGGUGGCCUCUGCAUGCAAGCUAUCACUUAAGGAUGGGCCCGCGUACCAUUAGCUUGUUGGUAGGGUAAUGGCCUACCAAGGCAACGAUGGUUAGCUGGUCUGAGAGGAUGGCCAGCCACACUGGAACUGAGACACGGUCCAGACUCCUACGGGAGGCAGCAGUGGGGAAUCUUGCGCAAUGGGGGAAACCCUGACGCAGCAACGCCGCGUGGGUGAUGAAGGCCUUCGGGUCGUAAAGCCCUGUCAAGUGGGAAGAAACAUGUCAUGGCUAAUAUCCAUGGCACUUGACGGUACCACUGGAGGAAGCACCGGCUAACUCCGUGCCAGCAGCCGCGGUAAUACGGAGGGUGCAAGCGUUGUUCGGAAUUAUUGGGCGUAAAGAGCGUGUAGGCGGUCGGGUAAGUCAGAUGUGAAAGCCUUCUGCUUAACAGAAGAAGUGCAUUUGAGACUGUUCGGCUGGAGUACGGGAGAGGAGAGUGGAAUUCCCGGUGUAGAGGUGAAAUUCGUAGAUAUCGGGAGGAACACCGGUGGCGAAGGCGGCUCUCUGGCCCGAUACUGACGCUGAGACGCGAAAGCGUGGGGAGCAAACAGGAUUAGAUACCCUGGUAGUCCACGCCGUAAACGAUGGGCACUAGGUGUAGGAGGUAUUGACCCCUUCUGUGCCGAAGUUAACGCAUUAAG
rnacentral:rRNA from 1 species